UACGUAGGGUGCAAGCGUUGUCCGGAAUUAUGGGGCGUAAAGAGCUCGUAGGCGGUUUGUUGCGUCGGCUGUGAAAUCCCGAGGCUCAACCUCGGGUCUGCAGUCGAUACGAGCAAACUAGAGUGUUGCAGGGGAGACUGGAAUUCCUGGUGUAGCGGUGAAAUGCGCAGAUAUCAGGAGGAACACCGGUGGCGAAGGCGGGUCUCUGGGCAACAACUGACGCUGAGGAGCGAAAGCGUGGGUAGCAAACAGG
rnacentral:rRNA from 1 species